GUGCCAGCAGCCGCGGUAAUACGUAGGGUCCGAGCGUUGUCCGGAAUUAUUGGGCGUAAAGGGCUUGUAGGCGGUUUGCUGCGUCGGAAGUGAAAACUCAGGGCUUAACCCUGAGCCUGCUUCCGAUACGGGCAAACUAGAGGGAUGCAGGGGAGAAUGGAAUUCCUGGUGGAGCGGUGGAAUGCGCAGAUAUCAGGAGGAACACCGGUGGCGAAGGCGGUUCUCUGGGCAUUUCCUGACGCUGAGAAGCGAAAGCGUGGGGAGCAAACAGGCUUAGAUACCCUGGUAGUCCACGCCGUAAACGGUGGGCACUAGGUGUGGGGAACAUUCCACGUUCUCCGUGCCGAAGCUAACGCAUUAAGUGCCCCGCCUGGGGAGUACGGCCGCAAGGCUAAA
rnacentral:rRNA from 1 species